rnacentral:rRNA from 1 species
ACUAAGUCCUUGGAAGCAGCCGGGGGAAUACGGAGGGUGCAAGCGGUCUCCGGAUUUAUUGGGUUUAAAGGGUCCGUAGGCGGAUCUAUAAGUCAGUGGUGAAAGCCGACAGCUUAACUGUCGAACUGCCGUUGAUACGGUAGGUCUUGAGUAAAUUUGAAGUGGCUGGAAUAAGUAGUGUAGCGGUGAAAUGCAUAGAUAUUACUUAGAACACCAAUUGCGAAGGCAGGUCACUAAGAUUUAACUGACGCUGAUGGACGAAAGCGUGGGGAGCGAACAGGAUUAGAUACCCGAGUAGUC